rnacentral:other from 1 species
GCGCCCCUGCGUUGAUCGCGGGCCACCAUGUUGCCAGAGCCGAUACCAGUCGAACGGGGGCUCGACUAUUUUGGGUGUGUGAAUCCCGCCGGUUCGGGAUUCCUGAUCCCAGAGUGCGGCACCCACCUUGGACUACCAGGGUUCGACAACUUUUGUGCCGGAGCCGACAACGCGGGGGCGCA